ACAGAAGUCAAUCUUUUAUACUACUUAAAAAAGGAAGUAGUGAGCAUAAAACAAGCACUCUUGUAAUUCAACCAUAUGUAGAGUUAAAUUAGCAAUGAAAAACUGUAUGGGAUUAACGAGAACGACGAAAUUACACAAAUAUCCAGUUGACACGUUCUGUCAAAGGAAUUGCCAGGCCUAUAAUCACAUUGGUGGGGGAAACUUGUUAAUUGAUGAGAUAACGGCCAAGGUAUUGACUACCGAACACAGAAGGAAUUUGGUAUUUCGAUUACGGGCAGGAGAAAAGUCAUGAGCGAAUGUUUGAACUUGUUCUUUUUCAGUGGACAAUUUCUCCUCAUGAACAACUUAGGAAGAAUUCAAGAGCUCCUUUCAUGUCAAAUAAAACGAGAAACACUUUACGUUUAAAUGAAUCAUUUGCUUUCAUGCACAAUGUGGUGGCAAGGUUAGUUACAUAGACACAACCGAGUCUCACCCCAUGAGUUGCAGAUCCAGAAUAUAGAGCGUUUAAGGCCACUCGCUUACUUAAUAUCAAAUUUCAUACUAUUUAGACUUUUAUAAAAGACGAUUUUCAUUACUUCUAGCCUUUAAACAAUAAACCGUUGUUAUAUAUGAAUAUAUAUUAUUUUCGCUGUAAAGCAAGCCUAAUUUUUUACUUAGCUUGAACAAACGAGACUAUAAUUUGAUGAGGUCAGCCC